UUGUUUGGUGUAAAAAAAAAUUAGUUUAACGAUAAAUAAUACAUUUAAUAAUAUAUAACAAUUGAAUGUCGAUAAUAUUGUUGUCGAAUUAGUUAUUUAUUAAAUAUAAUUUUAAAAUUAGAACUACAAAUAUAUUGUUAUUAUUUGGUUAAAAGUUUUUGUUACUUGGUAAAAAAUUUAAAGUAGUUUAUGUCUGAAAGUGCAAUUAAAAAUUACGUUGGCAUGUAGUACUGAAAGAUGAUUUUGUGAAUUUUCAGGAUAGUUUUUUUGAUCAAAUAUAUUAUUGAAUUUAAAAUGAAAUCGCAUCGCAUCGCAAGUGGAUUGAUAAUAAGUGUAACCCAAGAAGGGAUGAGAUUACUAGAGAAUUUUAUAAGGAUGUCGAUGAGUUUAUUCAAUUUGCGUCUACCUAAAAAAGUUUCAUAAGAGUAGAAAAAUAGUUAAAGUGCCCAUGUAUGAAAUGCAAGUGUCGGAGGUUCAAAUCAGUCAAUGAGAUGAAAAUAGAUAUUUGCAAACAUGAAUUCAUGAAGGGUUAUUAUUGGAUGCAUCAUGGUGAAGAAGUGCCGUAGUACCUCCACUGGUAGUUAAAAAUGAAUAUUAUAGAAAAAAUAAUUUAUGGAUCUAUUUAAUCCAUAUGAAUAAAUGGUAAUAGAUGCAGUAGGGCGAUCAAAUGGGCCAUAUAUAGUGCAAGGUAGUGGAAGUGGUUAUCAAACUUACAAUGUAGAUGAAGCAUAGAAUGAAAAUGCACAAUCAAUUUAUGACAUGUUGUUUGUUGCACAAGCUCCAUUGUAUCCGAUUUGCAAAGUAGAAAGUAAACUUUCUGCUGCAGUUAGGAUGCUGAGUAUUAAGUUUGAUUACAACAUUCUCGAAUGUGGUUAUAAUAAAAUCAUACAGUUUAUGCAUCAAACAAUGCCAACUGACAAUCGUGUGCCCACUAACUUUUAUCAUACCAAAAAGUUGGUUUUUCAGUUUGGGGUCAGUUGUAAGAAAUUGAUUAUUGUUCAAAUGGAUGUAUGAUGUAUUAUAAGGAUGAUAAAUCCAAGAUGAGUUGUAAGUUUGCGAUCAUCCUCGUUUUAAACCUGUAAGAAGUGGAAAGGGAAAAUUUAAACAAAUUCCUUAUAAAAAAAUGUGGUAUUUCCCUCUCAUACCAAAACUGCAUAGAAUAUAUGCUUCCACCAUUAUAGCUCUGAGCAUGAGAUGGUAUCAUAAAAUUCGGACGGAGCCUGGUGUAUUAUCUCACUUGUCUGACGGGGAAGCAUGGAAACAUUUUAAUCAGAAAUAUCUUAACUUCUCCGCCGAUCCUAGAAAUGUGAGGUUUGGUCUUUGUGCAGAUAGGUUCACUCUGUAUGAUAAAUCAGGUUGCCCAUAUUUUUGUUGGUCAGUCAUUGUGACACCAUAUAAUUUGCCUCUUCGAUUGUGUUUAAAAGGAGUUCCUUUUUCUGACUACUAUUAUUCCAAGACCAUCAAAUCCGAAAAACGAGAUAGAUGUUUCUUACAGCCUCUAAGUGAUGAACUUAAAUUGUUGUGGUACGAAAGAAUUAUAACUUAUGAUAUAUCAAUAAAGAAUAAUUUUUUUAUGAAGGCUGUUCUAUUGUGGACUGUCAAUAAUUUUCUUGCAUAUGAAAUGUUAUCUAGUUGGAUGACAUCUGGUAGAUUAGCAUGUCCGUAUUGUAUGAAGAAAACUAAAGCUUUCAACCUUAAGUAUGGUGGAAAGAUACAAAUGCAUUUCGAAAAAAAUAGAGUUGAGAAUUCUUCUCCACCACCACGGUUAACUGGAGAUAACAUUUUUCAAAUAGUCUGUAAUUUUUCAUGACAUAGAGUAUAAUUGGUCCAAACGGAGCAUUUUUUGAGAAUUACCAUACUGAAAAGAUAAUAUAAUUCGAUACAACUUAGAUAUCAUGAACAUUGAGAAUGAUAAUCUUUUCAACACAAUAAUGAAUUUGAAGGGUAAAAGUAAAAAUGAUAGGAAGGCUAAAAUGCACCUUAAAGAAUCUAGUAGGUCGAAAGAGCUUGAACUAAUAGAUCAUGGAGGGGGUAAGUAUUGAAAACCCAAGGCCCAAUCACGUUCAUAAGGAGCAGAAGUUAAGCUUUUGACGUGGAUAAAAGAACUUAAGCUCCUUGAUGAAUAUGCUUCCAGAUUGGGUAAAUGCGUUGAUAUGAGAAACACGAAGUUAUUUGGGUUGAAAAGCCAUGAUUAUCAUGUUCUCAUGGAGCGAUUACUCCCAAUGGCAUUUGCAGCAUUACUAGAUCGAAUUUGGAAUCCGAUUACUGAGUUAUGCCAAUUUUUCAAAGACAUUUGCUCAACAGUAUUGAGGAUUGAGCACCUAUAUGUCAUGGAACAAAACAUACACAUCAUUUUAUACAAAUUAAAACGUGUAUUUCCUUCGGCAUGGUUUAACCCAAUGGAGUAUCUGUCAAUAUACUUAGUUUAUGAAAUAAAGGUGGGGGAACCAGUACAAUACAGAUGGAUAUAUCCCUUUAAAAGUUAUGUCUGACAUAAUUUUAACUAUUUAUUUUUAAUAAAAUAAAUUUUAACUAUAUUAAAGAGAUCUUCGAAUGAUUUAGGUUCCUCAAUACUUUAAAAAAGAAGGUUCACAAUAAAGCUCAUGUAGAAAGAUCUAUAUGUGAUGCAUAUUUAAUUGAAGAGACGUCCACAAUUGGUUCAUAUUAUUUUGCAGCAAAUGUUCCAUCAAGAAAGACGAGAGUCCCUCGAAAUGAUGAUGAGAAAGAUUCUUCAUAUCUACAAAUUUUCGUCAUCAAUUAUCUAGGCCGUGUUGCUAGUCCAAUAAAAAUUAGGUGGAUGGAUGGAAAAGAGCUUGAAGCCACCAAAUUAUAUGUCUUGUUAAAUAUUCUAGAGGUCGAAUCUUAUAUUGAGUAAGAAUUAAAAUUUUAAUGAAUAUAUUUAUAAGUUUAUAUUCGGUUCAUAUUAUUUAGAAUAUAUACCACUUUAAUUUUUUAACAUGUACACCAACAUAUUGCGUUAGCUAUCUUCAAAUAUCAUAGAUGCAGAAAUAAAUAAACAAAUCGAGAAACAUUUUCCUAAGUGGUUCCAUCAUCAAAUAUGUUACUUCAUACUAGGUUAUUUUUAAAUUGAAUUUUAGUUAUGCAUUAAGUGAUUCAAACGUUUUCUCAUGUUAAUUCGAGUACUCAAAUUGUUAUAAAUCCAUUAAUUCAAAACAUAGGAUGGGGACCGACUCCAAACAUGCGGUAUUAGCCAAUGUAUUUUGUGAACAGAUAUAAGUUUCAUACAAUUGAAUGGAGUAAUAGUAGAUCUAUAAAAAAUUUUAGUGUUUGAGUGUCUAGGACAGGGGUUGGAUCCUCAGAGAUCUAUUAUUAUGGAAAAAUUAUAGACAUCAUUGAAUUGGAAUAUGCAGGCUUAUCAAUGAAAAGUGUAGUUCUGUUCAAAUGUGAAUGGUAUGAUCCAAGUCCUCGGGGAACCAAAAUUCAUGAUAAGUAUGGUAUUGUGGAGGUUCAAUCAUCAACAAAGUAUAGGAAAUAUGAUCCUUUCAUAUUUACCCAACAAGCUGAACAAGUGUAUUACCCGCCGUACCCCGACACUUGUCGUGAUAAACAUGAUUUGAUGGUUGUUAUUAAUACAAAGACACAGGCUACAAUAACUGCUCCCAAAGCUAACAUGGAAGAACCUUUCCAAGAGAAUGAGAUAUCAGAACUGCCUCAAAUUGAUCAAAAUGAUGUUUAGCAAUAAGAUGAUGAUGCAGAGGAAGAAUCUAUAUCAGGAGAUGACGAGUAAGAGUUAUUUUCUGAUGACAUAGAUAGUGAUGAUGAAAUCAUGGAUGAAUAUGUAGAAGAAAAUUGAUUUACUUUUGAAUAUGUGAAUUCACUUAUAUAUGCUAUGAUAUAAUAGAUUUUGUAUUUUUGAAUUUCUGUGACCUUGUACGUUUUAGUAUUUUUUUAUUUUUCAUGUAAUUCUCAAAAUAGAUGUAGGACAUUAGUCUCCCGAACCAAACAGGGGUAGGGGUAGUAGGGGUAGAGGUAGACAUCAAUCUUAUAGGGACACACCUUCUCCAUAUCUCAGUAGUUCUGGUUCACAGUCUUCUCUUUCUGUCUCCACAUAUACUGUCCCUUCUACUCCUUUAUAUUCUCAAUCAUCGCACCCACAUGCUUUCGUUCCCAUGACUCAAUUCCAAUAGUCUUUUGGCGAGAUGCCAUAUCCUAUAGGUUAUAUUACAGUUUUACCCAUAUCCCACCCACCCACGACUGCACCACAAUAUGUCUUUUCUUCUAAGUUGACUUUUCAUCCCCUAUGAGGUUCCUACCCAUACUCAUUUAUACUGGCACCCUAUGCACAUCUUUCAUCAUUUUCUCCUGCAUUGAAUGUUAAGCCAACUCUAUCUGAGCCAGUUGAUACUGAUUAAAUUGAUCACCGAAUAGAGUUAUCUUGCAAUCAGAACUAUGAUUAGUGAGUAUCUUAUAAAUCAUUUUUAAUUGAUUUUUUGUAAUUGUUAUACACAAAAAUACACGUUUUUACUUUACAAAUAUUGGUUUUACAGUUUUUUUCCCUGAGAUUGGCCCACUAAGUGUACAAUCAAAGAUUUGUAAGAGAUGGUACACUGAAGCUUGGCUUCAUUAGGAUGACAUGCCAGAAAUAACACGAUGGAUGUGGCUGGAAGAAUUUAACAAGGAGUUUAAGUGGCAACUCGAGAAGAAUGAUCGUAUAUGGAUCACUUGGAAUAAGUCUGGUUGGAGAAGUUUCAGAAAUAAUUUGAACAAAAUUAAAAAAGAUGUAGAUAAGGGUCAGUGGAUGGAUCCUAUCGUGCGGCAGGCAUUGCGAACAAAGUGGGAUGAAGAUGAGUACAAGAAGCAAGUAGAACAAAACAAAAAGAAUCACGCUUCCGAGAUCGAUGGUUCAAUCCACACAAGCAGAUCCAUUCCUUUCACCGAGAGUGAAGAGAAGAGCCGAAGAGAAUGGUAAUUAGUUUUCUUAUUUAAAUGUAAAUUUUAUAAACUUAUAUAGUGAUUUAUAUUUUAUUUUAUUUUAGCUCAUACAUUUGUCAUGCAUGCAAAGGAAUUAGUCCGCAAGCCCAAUGAAUUCAAGGUUUUGAAGAGAAUCCACACUUGGAAUGA